rnacentral:rRNA from 1 species
CCCUACGGGAGGCUGCAGUGGGGAAUAUUGGACAAUGGGCGAAAGCCUGAUCCAGCCAUGCCGCGUGUGUGAAGAAGGCCUUCGGGUUGUAAAGCACUUUCAGUGGGGAAGAAAGCCUUGGGGCUAAUACCCUCGAGGAAGGACAUCACCCACAGAAGAAGCACCGGCUAACUCCGUGCCAGCAGCCGCGGUAAUACGGAGGGUGCGAGCGUUAAUCGGAAUUACUGGGCGUAAAGCGCGCGUAGGCGGUCUGAUAAGCCGGUUGUGAAAGCCCCGGGCUCAACCUGGGAACGGCAUCCGGAACUGUCAGGCUAGAGUGCAGGAGAGGAAGGUAGAAUUCCCGGUGUAGCGGUGAAAUGCGUAGAGAUCGGGAGGAAUACCAGUGGCGAAGGCGGCCUUCUGGACUGACACUGACGCUGAGGUGCGAAAGCGUGGGUAGCAAACAGGAUUAGAUACCCGAGUAGUC